ensembl:rRNA 5S_rRNA 5S ribosomal RNA
GUCUACAGUCAUACCACCCUGAACAUGCCCAAUCUCAUCUGAUCUGGAAGCUAAGCAGUGUCAGGCCUGGUUAGUACUUGGAUGGUAGAGGAAGAAAGACACCUGCAGAGC